CCACGGACGACGUGCGAUAGGGAUCCCAAGUGCGUAGGCAUAGAGCCUACGCUUUUGUCCACCGUAGGGAGGUGGACGAAUAAGGGCUGGGCAAGACCGGUGCCAGCCGCCGCGGUAAUACCGGCAGCCCGAGUGAUGGCCGAUCUUAUUGGGCCUAAAGCGUCCGUAGCUGGCCGCGCAAGUCUAUCGGAAAAUCCACCCGCUCAACGGGUGGGCGUCCGGUAGAAACUGCGUGGCUUGGGACCGGAAGGCGCGACGGGUACGUCCGGGGUAGGAGUGAAAUCCUGUAAUCCUGGACGGACCGCCGAUGGCGAAAGCACGUCGCGAGGACGGAUCCGACAGUGAGGGACGAAAGCCAGGGUCUCGAACCGGAUUAGAUACCCGGGUAGUCCUGGCCGUAAACAAUGUCUGUUAGGUGUGGCUCCCACUACGAGUGGGUGCUGUGCCGUAGGGAAGCCGCUAAACAGACCGCCUGGGAAGUACGUCCGCAAGGAUGAAACUUAAAGGAAUUGGGGGGGGAAGCAACAA
rnacentral:rRNA from 1 species